CAAAUUUUCCUCGACUACCUCUCUCUCUUUUUAGGCAACGGCGGUGGCGAUUGAUAGUAUGAGUUUUGCUCCGACGAUUGAGAGUAGGAUUGAAGCUACUUUCCUUUAAUCAUUUCUAAUUUUGCAAACUAAUUUCUUCACUUUCAUCUUUGAUCUCUCUGGAAAAAUAACUAAUUUGAGUUGUUGGAAUUAACUUGUUGAAUUUUUCUCUGCAAAUUGUUUGGAAUAAGGUAACGUUUCCUCUAUGUCCACAAUUUUGUGUGUUAUUCCAAUAAUUGAUUGUUUUUCUCUCUUUCUCAAUUGUUCAUCGUUGAUAUCGAGAAUGCAUGAAGAUCUAUAGGAAAUAGUUUUACAUUCGCGUAGAUUCGGAUUGCAAUUGUGUAGAUUCGGAUUGCGAUUUUUGCUUCAUGCAUUAGCUCUUGAUCGAUAGUUAGAUUGUACCUGUUUGGAUUGGAAAUGUCUCUGAUGUUGUUCGAUAUCCUAAUUUUUUGUUAUUUAUAACUUUUUUAUGAGGUAAUUAUCUAGUAGAACUCAAAUCGAGCUCCGUUUGUUUUUUAUGCAGUGGAAUGCGAGCAAAAUUUUUGUUUUCGAAGCAUGAAAUUUUUUUGCUGGACAUAGCAAUUAUUUUGUUUUCGAAGCAGGAAAGUUUCAGAUGUUUUUGGUGUUUGUAUAUGAUACAGACAAUUUUAACAAAAAAGUAAACGUUUGAGGCGGACUCAAAGAAAGAAAUCAAGAAGUUGCAGCGGUAUAGAGACCUCAGAUCAAGACAUGGAUUCAGUCCAGUGAGAUCAAAGAUAAGAAACUGAGAGGAGUGGCUUCAUCUCUGUGAGAAAGAAACCAAGACAAGACCAAGACAAGGGAUGGCUGAAUAAUGUGGUGAGUUGUUUUACCGUAUUCGUGCCUAAAUAUUGAUUCUUGACCCCUUUCUUUAACAAAAACGUCAAAGAAGACAAAUGUUUAUGGUGUUUUUGAAAUAUAUGCAACGUUAUGCAAAUGUUGUAAUUUA